AAAGUCGUAACAAGGUCUCCGUAGGUGAACCUGCGGAGGGAUCAUUACUGAAUGGCCUGUCGGCCUUCAACCUUGCAAACCUGUGGAAGUGAGACGUGCUUCGGCGCUUCGGCGUCGCUUUGAUGCACAAGUCAGUCGUCUAGUCUGAAUCAAACACAAACAAUAAAACUUUCAACAAAGGAUCUCUUGGCUCUC
rnacentral:misc_RNA from 1 species